rfam:Caenorhabditis remanei strain PB4641 contig42.7, whole genome shotgun sequence.
GCACCGGUAGCACAGUGGUAGUGCUGCGGAGGCUUAAUCUGUAGACGGUGGUUUGAUUCCACCCUGGUGUC